GUUGCCCCGAUUACUGCAGUUAGAAAGCUUCCGUAGGUGAAGUUGCACCCGAUUACUGCAGUUAGAAAAAGCUUCCGUAGGUGAAGUUGCCCCGAUUACUGCAGUUAGAAAGCUUCCGUAGGUGAAGUUGCACCCGAUUACUGCAGUUAGAAAAAGCUUCCGUAGGUGAAGUUGCCCCGAUUACUGCAGUUAGAAAGCUUCCGUAGGUGAAGUUGCCCGAUUACUGCAGUUAGAAAGCUUCCGUAGGUGAAGUUGCCCCGAUUACUGCAGUUAGAAAGCUUCCGUGAGGUGAAGCUUGCCCCGAUUACUGCAGUUAGAAAGCUUCCGUAGGUGAAGUUGCACCCGAUUACUGCAGUUAGAAAGCUUCCGUAGGUGAAGUUGCCCCGAUUACUGCAGUUAGAAAAAGCUUCCGUAGGUGAAGUUGCACCCGAUUACUGCAGUUAGAAAGCUUCCGUAGGUGAAGUUGCACCCGAUUACUGCAGUUAGAAAAAGCUUCCGUAGGUGAAGUUGCCCCGAUUACUGCAGUUAGAAAAAGCUUCCGUAGGUGAAGUUGCACCCGAUUACUGCAGUUAGAAAGCUUCCGUAGGUGAAGUUGCCCCGAUUACUGCAGUUAGAAAGCUUCCGUAGGUGAAGUUGCACAAGAUUAUUGCAGUUAGAAAGCUUCCGUAGGUGAAGUUGCCCCCUAGACACUAAAAAAGGUCAGUUUGGAGUCCCCCCCCCCCUGUAUUGGUUCAGGUUAGAAGCUGAAGAGUCAUGAUAUAUCCCUCUGAUGGUUGAGAACAGGACUGUUAGUAGUCUGCACACACACUGUUGUGUUGUAGUCCAUCCAUAGUCCAUGUCUUUAUGAAAGAGUCUUUCUCCAUGUGCAGUAGAAUGAUGAAAUGUUGAGAGGAGUAUAAAAGCUGCUUUGUAAAAG